GGGACACGUGGUAUCCUGUCUGAAUAUGGGGGGACCAUCCUCCAAGGCUAAAUACUCCUGACUGACCGAUAGUGAACCAGUACCGUGAGGGAAAGGCGAAAAGAACCCCGGCGAGGGGAGUGAAAAAGAACCUGAAACCGUGUACGUACAAGCAGUGGGAGCACCUUCGGGUGUGACUGCGUACCUUUUGUAUAAUGGGUCAGCGACUUAUAUUCUGUAGCAAGGUUAACCGUAUAGGGGAGCCGCAGGGAAACCGAGUCUUAACUGGGCGUUAAGUUGCAGGGUAUAGACCCGAAACCCGGUGAUCUAGCCAUGGGCAGGUUGAAGGUUGGGUAACACUAACUGGAGGACCGAACCGACUAAUGUUGAAAAAUUAGCGGAUGACUUGUGGCUGGGGGUGAAAGGCCAAUCAAACCGGGAGAUAGCUGGUUCUCCCCGAAAGCUAUUUAGGUAGCGCCUCGUGAACUCAUCUUCGGGGGUAGAGCACUGUUUCGGCUAGGGGGUCAUCCCGACUUACCAACCCGAUGCAAACUACGAAUACCGAAGAAUGUUAUCACGGGAGACACACGGCGGGUGCUAACGUCCGUCGUGAAGAGGGAAACAACCCAGACCGCCAGCUAAGGUCCCAAAGUCAUGGUUAAGUGGGAAACGAUGUGGGAAGGCACAGACAGCCAGGAUGUUGGCUUAGAAGCAGCCAUCAUUUAAAGAAAGCGUAAUAGCUCACUGGUCGAGUCGGCCUGCGCGGAAGAUGUAACGGGGCUAAACCAUGCACCGAAGCUGCGGCAGCGACACUAUGUGUUGUUGGGUAGGGGAGCGUUCUGUAAGCCUGCGAAGGUGACCUGUGAGGGUUGCUGGAGGUAUCAGAAGUGCGAAUGCUGACAUAAGUAACGAUAAAGCGGGUGAAAAGCCCGCUCGCCGGAAGACCAAGGGUUCCUGUCCAACGUUAAUCGGGGCAGGGUGAGUCGACCCCUAAGGCGAGGCCGAAAGGCGUAGUCGAUGGGAAACAGGUUAAUAUUCCUGUACUUGGUGUUACUGCGAAGGGGGGACGGAGAAGGCUAUGUUAGCCGGGCGACGGUUGUCCCGGUUUAAGCAUGUAGGCUGGUUAUCCAGGCAAAUCCGGAUAAUCAA
rnacentral:rRNA from 1 species